rnacentral:lncRNA from 1 species
CAGCUACUGGAGCAUUUACAAUCUGGAUUGGGCAACAUUCAGUUUAAGAGGGGCGUGUUUACUAGUUUUUCAUCGGAAUGUAGGCACACACUGGGCUGCGCUUCAGGUGAACGCGGCGGCACGCAAAGCUGCGGCUCUCAUUCACAGCAAUGCAAACUCUGGCCUAGUUUAUUUACAUACGCCGGAUCAUCACAGACGCUGCUUUUUGACGGAUGAUAUUCAGCGCCUGAUGUGAAUCUGAAACUGAAUGUGAAAUCUACAGGAGGACCAAGUGUCCUGACUCCUGACCGAAGAGCCGUUCUUUUCUGAGAGGCUCAGGUAGAGUUCACAGAAAGCCAAGCCACAUGAAGACAGAAGAUCUGAAGUCUUAUAACCAGACCUUCCUGUGAGAUCGGACGCUGGACACUCUGAUGUGAAACUGAAAGCGAUUCAGAGGUUUGCUCUAUGAAACAGCACCUUGGAAAGUGAGAAGGACCGUAAUGUAAAUAAGCGCGGACGACGUGAAGUAGCCUAUAUGUAUUUUCAGUUAUUCAUUUUUUAUUCAGGAUUAUGUAGGAUUCAGGUCAUCCUCUUUGGCUUCUGCGUGUUUGAAAACUUCAGGAAAAGUACCCAGCAGAGGAAACACUUGUGAAACAUGGAUGUAAUUAGGUUUCCCGAUUUUUUUGAUGAUAAAAACCACUGGGAUCACACAUCUCGUGGUCUUUACUUUAUCAGAUGAGUCCAGUUUCAGAUCUCAAGAAGUUAUUUUGUGACACCUGACGAAGACCUAAAAUGCAGAAGGCAAACAACAGGAAACUGUCUCUGUGCCAGGCCCUCACUCUCAUAACACUACUGAUGUCUCCAAGUUGCCUGUCCUCUCUGCCUUCAUCCAGACGAGUAGAGCUGGGAGGUGAGGGACCACAGAUGCAUAGCCAAAUACAUUUCAUGAAUGAGUGGGCCUCGUGGGGCGGUUGGUCUGUGUGUUCGUGCUCCUGUGGGGGAGGGGCGUCUGUCCGUACACGCACCUGCAUCACCAGAAAUCUGGUAGGAGGGCCGUGCUCGGGGGACACCAGGCAAUACAAGAUUUGUAACACAAAGGAGUGUCCUGCUGACUCUAUGGACUUCAGAGAACUGCAGUGUAAAGCUUUCAAUGACAGACCCCUGGUCGCUGGCAGCAGUUACCGUUGGACUACCUUUCACACACUUACAUAGUGGAGGUGGAAACGUAUUUGAAUGUGUUUAAAGAAUUCAACCCACUAUU